rnacentral:lncRNA from 1 species
UUGCAGCAUGAUUCACUCUAGAAAAGAUUUGGAAUCAACCUAGGUAUUUCUCAACCAAGAGUAGAUAAAGCAAUGUGGUGAUUUGUUGGACACACCAAUGCUCCUGACACAUGCUAUUCACUUGGAGCAGCUCCUCUUAUGUGGCACAUUCACAGUGCAACGGCUCUGCAAGAAGCAUGGCCCCAGCAUCUGCUUCUGGUGAGGCCUCAGGAAGCAUUCAGUUGUGGAGGAAGACAAAGGAGGAGCAGUUGCGCUAUACAGCAAAAGAGGAGGAGGCAGGAAAAGGAGGAGGAGGUAGCCGGCUCUUUGUAACCAGCAGACCUCCCAUAACUAAUGGAGUGAUAACUCACUCAUUACUGCCAGAAAGGCAAGAAGGCAUUCAUGAGGGAUCUGUACCUACAACGCAAAGUCCUCCCACUCCUUCUAUUGUGGGCUACCUAAAAAUGGAACAUAUUAACUUCCAAGAUAUUUGGGUGCACAGAUAUUAAAAAUAAAAUAAGCUGCCACACA